UCGCCAAAUUUUUACAUCUGCAGGUUAAGAGAGUUCAGAGAUUGAAGGAAGCUAAAGUGAAACUUCCCUUGAAAAGUCAGAUUUUAAGAGAACUUUUUGCAAAUAAAGCAUUGGAGGUUUGUUGUAGAGUGAAGGAUAUGAAAUAAUUCAAGGAAAUUGGUGGAUACACAUAUUUAGAUCAUUUAUAAUUUGUAUUGGUUAAGACAUUAUAAAUGGGAAAAUCAAGAAAUGAUCUUUUGACAACAUCAAAUGAU